AAAGUCGUAACAAGGUUUCCGUAGGUGAACCUGCGGAAGGAUCAUUAACACGUAUCCAUACGUAUUAUAUACCAAACCGUGAACUUGUUUGUAAUAACGAAGAAAGCGAGUGUGGAAUCAGAAAUGAUGAAGCAUGAACUUUUGUACCUUAUUCAACCUUAUAAACCACUUGUAACCAUAUUGUACUAAACCUAAGAAUGUGAAUGCCUACUGGGCAAUCAUAUUUGUAUUUACGAAACGUAAAAACAAUUCUUAGCAACGGAUAUCUUGGUUCUC
rnacentral:misc_RNA from 1 species